rnacentral:rRNA from 1 species
CGUAGGGAGCGAGCGUUGUCCGGAAUUACUGGGCGUAAAGAGCUCGUAGGCGGGACCGUAAGUCCGAGAGGAAAUCUCAAGGCUCAACUUUGGGGCUUUCUUGGAUACUGCGGUUCUUGAGGAUGAGAGAGGUAAGUAGAAUUCCCGGUGUAGCGGUGAAAUGCGUAGAUAUCGGGAGGAAUACCAGUGGCGAAGGCGGCUUACUGGCUCAUUCCUGACGCUGAGGAGCGAAAGCGUGGGGAGCAAACGGGAUUAGAUACCCCGGUAGUCCACGCCGUAAGCGAUGGAUACUAGGUGUAGGAGGUAUCGACCCCUUCUGUGCCGACGUUAACACAUUAAGUAUCCCGCCUGGGGAGUACGGUCGCAAGGCUG